rnacentral:rRNA from 1 species
AUUGAACGCUGGCGGCAUGCCUUACACAUGCAAGUCGAACGGCAGCACGGGAGCAAUCCUGGUGGCGAGUGGCGAACGGGUGAGUAAUAUAUCGGAACGUGCCCAGUCGCGGGGAUAACGUAGCGAAAGCUACGCUAAUACCGCAUACGAUCUAUGGAUGAAAGCGGGGGAUCGCAAGACCUCGCGCGAUUGGAGCGGCCGAUAUCAGAUUAGGUAGUUGGUGAGGUAAAGGCUCACCAAGCCGACGAUCUGUAGCUGGUCUGAGAGGACGACCAGCCACACUGGGACUGAGACACGGCCCAGACUCCUACGGGAGGCAGCAGUGGGGAAUUUUGGGACAAUGGGCGCAAGCCUGAUCCAGCAAUGCCGCGUGCAGGAUGAAGGCCUGGUGUAACGU